rnacentral:rRNA from 1 species
AUGCAAGUCGAGCGGACCGACGGGAGCUUGCUCCCUUAGGUCAGCGGCGGACGGGUGANUANCACGUGGGUAACCUGCCUGUAAGACUGGGAUAACUCCGGGAAACCGGGGCUAAUACCGGAUGCUUGAUUGAACCGCAUGGUUCAAUCAUNAAAGGCGGCUUCGGCUGCCGUUUACAGAUGGACCCGCGGCGCAUUAGCUAGUUGGUGAGGUAACGGCUCACCAAGGCGACGAUGCGUAGCCGACCUGAGAGGGUGAUCGGCCACACUGGGACUGAGACACGGCCCAGACUCCUACGGGAGGCAGCAGUAGGGAAUCUUCCGCAAUGGACGAAAGUCUGACGGAGCAACGCCGCGUGAGUGAUGAAGGUUUUCGGAUCGUAAAGCUCUGUUGUUAGGGAAGAACAAGUACCGUUCGAAUAGGGCGGUACCUUGACGGUACCUAACCAGAAAGCCACGGCUAACUACGUGCCAGCAGCCGCGGUAAUACGUAGGUGGCAAGCGUUGUCCGGAAUUAUUGGGCGUAAAGCGCGCGCAGGCGGUUUCUUAAGUCUGAUGUGAAAGCCCCCGGCUCAACCGGGGAGGGUCAUUGGAAACUGGGGAACUUGAGUGCAGAAGAGGAGAGUGGAAUUCCACGUGUAGCGGUGAAAUGCGUAGAGAUGUGGAGGAACACCAGUGGCGAAGGCGACUCUCUGGUCUGUAACUGACGCUGAGGCGCGAAAGCGUGGGGAGCGAACAGGAUUAGAUACCCUGGUAGUCCACGCCGUAAACGAUGAGUGCUAAGUGUUAGAGGGUUUCCGCCCUUUAGUGCUGCAGCAAACGCAUUAAGCACUCCGCCUGGGGAGUACGGUCGCAAGACUGAAACUCAAAGGAAUUGACGGGGGCCCGCACAAGCGGUGGAGCAUGUGGUUUAAUUCGAAGCAACGCGAAGAACCUUACCAGGUCUUGACAUCCUCUGACANCCCUAGAGAUAGGGCUUCCCCUUCGGGGGCAGAGUGAAAAGGUGGUGCAUGAUGUCGUC